UUCCGAGCACGGAGUCAACCACUCUGACCCAGACCAACAAGUCAAAGAAACCGACCCAGUCCUACUGAUCAACGAACCAAGUUACCCCAGGGAUAACAGCGCUAUCUUCUUCAAGAGUUCCUAUCGACAAGAAGGUUUACGACCUCGAUGUUGGAUCAGGACACCCAAAUGGUGCAGCAGCUAUUAAAGGUUCGUUUGUUCAACGAUUAACAGUCCUACGUGAUCUGAGUUCAGACCGGAGCAAUCCAGGUCGGU
rnacentral:rRNA from 1 species